UGGGGGGGGAGGGGGCAGUCUGGAAAGCAGUGUCUAUGUAGCACAACGUUUUUCUUUCUUCCAUUUAUUGAUGAUAUUUCAUCAUUAAGAUAAGAUUCAAGAGACUAUUUUAACACAUACCUGUGCAGAUCUUAAUGGCACACUUACUUCAGAUCCAUUUUGUGUGUGUGUGAGAAAUAAAAUGCGACUGAAACUGUGCCCUCUCUCCUCGCGAAUUCAGUUUCUCACUCCCAUGCAUGGCUUUAUGUUCCCCACUUGAUUUGUAUUCAUAAGUGCUGUGCCAAAUGCUGUGCCUGGUUUAGAGAUUUUUGUUUUGUUUUCCAGUUUGAAUCCUAUAUAUUCUCAUAACGACCUUCCGAGGUGCCUCGAUGAGAGCCACGGGCACCUUGCUGCUUAGGAGGCCUGACCUGUGACAGGUUGGAGCUGAAGUUGCUGUUAGUUCAUAAGCAGUGAUACAAAGGAGCUGAUGAACAAGGGCGUUAGAGCAACCGGGGCUCUUCUGCAGAGGGCUGAGCCUGGGCGCCCUCCCUGGUGAGUGUUUAAUUGUUGAGAGUAUUACAGAUGUGAAUCCCCCUCCACCCAUUUCUCCCCUCCACCCUGCCCCCGCCCCCGCCCUUCCCCACACUGUUGUCUGUGUCCGUGGGUUAUGCAUAUAUGCAUAUACUAGUAAGUUCUUUGGUUAACCUCUUGCCAUCCCCCCCCACUCCCCCUUCCCUCUGAGAUCUGUCAGUCUGUUCCAUGCUUCCAUGUUUCUGGUCCUAUUUUGUUCGUCAGUUUAUUUUGUUCAUUAGAUUCCACAUAUGAGUGAGAUCAUGUGACACUUGUCUUUCUCUUUCUGGCUUAUUUCACUUAGCAUAAUGUUCUCCAGUUCCAUCCAUGCUGUUGCAAAGGGUAGAGUUACUUCUUUUUUACUGCUACAAAGUAUUCCACGGUGUAAAUGUACCACAGGGUUUUUUUUUUAAUCCACUCAUCUACUGAUGGGCACUUGGGCUGUUUCCAGAUCUUAGCUGUUGUAAGUAAUGCUGCUAUGAACAUAGGGGUGCAUAUAUUCUUUCUCAUUGGUGUUUCAGGAUUCUUAGGAUAUAUUCUCAGAAGUGGGAUCGCUGGGUCAAAUGGCAGUUCCAUUUUUACUUUUUUUGAGGAACCUGGUGAGUUCUUCUUGUCACUACUCACAGGACACCCACGUCUUUCCCUUUGUGUGCACGUGCCGCCUCAGCAUCACAGAUGUACACACGUUCUGGGCCUUAUUUAUGUUUUUGAUUUUUUUUUUGGCCAGUUUUAUAUUCUGAACCUUUUAGUAUCUACAGUGUAACUAUAUUUAAAACAUUUAGAGUUGUACAAUUCUAUAAUGUAUGUUUGAAACUAGUGUCUCUGUCAGAAGGGGUGAAAUGCACCUUUAACUUUAUACAAGUAGACUUUGAAACCACUUCAAUGGUAUUUAUCUUUUCCCACCGGGCCUCCUGUCCUGUAAACUGACUUAUAUUAUGCAAGGAGAUUCCAAAGGUAUGUUUUAAGGGAGCUUAAGCAAACCCUGCGAUUUGAGUCUAAGCUAGUUGCUGAGUUGGCCGGAGGCCAAUUCGAGUGGAUCCUUGAGUUCAGAUCUUCAGACUGUCAGUGAGUCCUGGCAGGCCCAGGAACAUCCCUGGUGCGGACGGGUGGGUGGGGGAGGAUGUGAAUGACUCAGGGCAGAGAGCACCACUCUCAGGAAACUGCACAGUGGCCUUGCUCCCUAAGAAGCCUGCCCAAGGUCAGUUUGAUAAGGGAGUGGUUUUCGCCGCCAGUGUGAUAGUCAUUGCUGGAACUUCUUCCUGUGUCACCACUGCCUUUUGUUUUUUGGGGUAACUCACAUCUGUGUCCACCUUGUGAUUAUGUGCUGAGAGAAGGGUGGAGUGGGGAGGGGCGAGGUCACUUGUACCCAGGGUUCCUGUUCUUCCGAAGUCAGGGUGUCCAGGUGACCGUCGCGGACACCUCACAAGACAGUAAGCCCUGGCAGACUGUCACUGUGCUGUCUGCAGCAGGGGCUCUGAGGGAGCAGCUGGAACAAACCGUGACGGAGGCCCUGGGGCAGGCUGAGUGCAGCGGUUAGGAAGACAGAUGUUGGGCUCAAACUGGGUCUGGGGAUGGCUAAGUGCAACUCGGGCCCAGCUGGGUCUGAGAACAGCGCCUCCCUUUUGGGAUUAGUGUGAGGAUUUACGAGCUAAUACACAUAAGCAUUUAGCACCGGGCCUGGCACACAGUAAGUGCUCAGUCAAUGGUAGUUGUCUUUGUUGCACUCAGCUGGUAAUUUGAACCCAAGGUGCUGUAAUGCCAGAGACUGAGUUCUCGGCCACUGCACUGCCACCUGCCCUGCACGCGGGAAAGCGGCCGCACUGUCCUGGGAGGAGCAGCCCACAGUGGCUGGUGCUGUGCUUCAUUUAGAAGGCCAGCCUGACGAGAGGAAUGAGGACGUGAGGGUGCUUUGAAAUUCAUACUGAGCGGGAAUGGUGUGCCUGAGGUCUUGCCCACUUCCUGCUGCCCCUGGUCUGGACUUGCCCCUUGCUGGGGUGCCUCAACUCCGUGGGCGGUGAGGGCCUCUCUGUGAUUCGCUCAGGACCCCAACUCCCCCUCUGGCCAAGGGCCUUGCUCUGCACACACAGCUCAGGAGCCUGCAGCGGUGCCCUGUACGAGUGGACAGCUCCAACCAGAGAGAGUGGAGAAAGAGAGCCACCUCUGUGGCAGAUGAGAAUACAGACAGGACGCCUGAAAGCUCUGCCCACACCCUGACAACGCAACAAGUCGGGGCCUUUGUUUCACGCUUUCCUAAAAGUAUUAGCAGGAGAGAAGCAGGUGCCCACUGAGGGUAGAUGAUGUGGGGUGCUCCUGUUGGGUUGUAGGUUCGCAAAGGAUCACGUGGGUGAUUCAGGAAUGAAGGGAGAACAGGCAGUCGACUGCGUGAGAAAUACUUAAUUUCAUUUUCUGGAAGGAGACGGGGAGUUGGGGAGUGUAUGUGUGUGUGAGGCGGAGGUUUCUUCACUUUGAAGGAAUGGUGUGGACAAAGGGGACCUAUGACAUUCUCAAGCCCCUGGAAUAGUAAUAACUCGGAACUGCCGGCUGGACUGGGAACUGUUUCCUGGGUGUCAGUGGGGAAUGAAGACCAGAUCCAAAGGCCACUGUGUUCAUGGCCUCUCCCCUUCAGUUAAUUCACGAGGCCAUGGUUAUGCAGGAAUGAGGAGAACGUGUUGUGGUGUUUAGUAAGCAGCUGCUGGGAGGGACUGGCCAUGGGCUUGCCCUCUCGUCCUUCUGGGCUGGCGCUUGCUCCCUCAUCGUUACAGCUAAUAGACCAGGCGGUUUUUAUCUGUAGAGAAAAAGGCUCCCAACUGGGACAAAGGCCCCCUGACAGGGCCCCGGCAGGGGCCUCCCCGCAUGGGGCAGGGCCGAGCCCUUUGCAGCCUUCCCUGGACGUAGAGCUCAGAGGGCCCGCUGGGUUGAGCUUUCUGCUGAUUCUGUCCCAAGUGAAAUGGUGUUUGCUGAUACCAUCUGCAUCGCUGUCUCUGCCCUUGACUGCGGGAACGCUUAUGUCUCACCUCCGUUAGGUUCCUGUGCGGGGUUUGCUGGCUCUGUGCCAAGGAACACCAGCCCAGAAAGGGAGUUGAGAGCAUUUCCUAGCUGCUGUGCCCUUUACCUGAUGGGGCGUUUCCCUAGAUCCGCGUGCUUGUGGCACAGCCGUCGUCUCUGCACCCUCUGAUCAGUGUUGGACCAUACAUGUAGACUCCUCCCCACCGCAGUGUCAGAACAUGAUGGACUGUACAUUGGAAAGUACCUUAUUUAUACACCUGAAAGUUCCAGUUACACAAAUAAACAUCUAUUAAAUUCUG